AACGCACAUUGCGCCCCCUGGCAUUCCGGGGGGCAUGCCUGUCCGAGCGUCAUUUCUGCCCUCAAGCACGGCUUGUGUGUUGGUGUGGUCCCCCCGGGGACCUGCCCGAAAGGCAGCGGCGACGUCCGUCUGGUCCUCGAGCGUAUGGGGCUCUGUCACUCGCUCGGGAAGGACCUGCGGGGGUUGGUCACCACCAUGUUUUUACCACGGUUGACCUCGGAUCAGGUAGGAGUCACCCGCUGAACUUAA
rnacentral:misc_RNA from 1 species